rnacentral:rRNA from 1 species
UCGAAAACCUGCCAAGCAGAAAACCCGCGGACUUGUACAUACUCCCGGGGAGGAUGUGCGGGUCGUGGCCUCGUUGCCUCGCCUUCCAUUUUCCCCCUGCGAGCAGAUGCGCGCGGGCCUUCCGGGCAACGCGUUUCGUCUGCUCGUCAAACAACGAACCCCGGCGCAAAACGCGCCAAGGAAAAAUUGAACAAAGAGCGCACGUCCCUGCCCGUUUUCCGGGUGGUGUCGGCGUACGCAGUCUUUCAUGUAACCAAACGACUCUCGGCAACGGAUAUCUCGGCUCUUGCAUCGAUGAAGAACGUAGCGAAAUGCGAUACUUGGUGUGAAUUGCAGAAUCCCGUGAACCAUCGAGUCUUUGAACGCAAGUUGCGCCUGAAGCCAUUAGGUUGAAGGCACGUCUGCCUGGGCGUCACGCAUUGCGUCACCCACUCCCCCGUGCCUGAGCGGGCAUGCCGGUGCGUGGGCGGAUAUUGGCCCCCCGUUCACAUCCGUGCUCGGUCGGCCUAAAAAGCGGGUCCCCAAUGACGGACAUCACGACGAGUGGUGGUUGCCAAACCGUCGCGUCGCGUCGUGCGUGCCAU